rnacentral:rRNA from 1 species
GGACGAACGCCUGGCGGCGUGCCUAACACAUGCAAGUCAACUUGACUGAAGAGCAAUCUGACAGUAGAGUGGCGACAAGGGUUGCGUAACGCGUAAGUAACUUGCCCAGGUAAGGAUAACGUCGAGAAAUCGGCGCUAAUACCUCAUAAUGCAGCGGAUCCGCAUGGAUAUGUUGUUAAAGGUUUACCGCCUUGGGAUAGGCUUGCGUCUGAUUAGCUAGUUGGUGUGGUAACGGCACACCAAGGCUACGAUCAGUAACUGGUCUGAGAGGAUGAUCAGUCACACUGGAACUGAGACACGGUCCAGACUCCUACGGGAGGCAGCAGUGAGGAAUAUUGGGCAAUGCUCGAAAGAGUGACCCAGCAACGCCGCGUGGAGGAUGAAGGUAUUCUAUAUCGUAAACUCCUGUGAGAGCAGACGAAAGACAGAUUAUUAAUCUGGAUGACUGUAUGCCCAGAGGAAGCCCCGGCUAACUACGUG